rnacentral:rRNA from 1 species
UAGGGAAUCUUCCACAAUGGACGCAAGUCUGAUGGAGCAACGCGCGUGAGUGAAGAAGGGUUUCGGCUCGUAAAGCUCUGUUAGUUAAAGAAGAGCGUGGGUAAGAGUAACUGUUUACCCAGUGACGGUAUUUAACCAGAAAGCCACGGCUAACUACGUGCCAG